rnacentral:snRNA from 1 species
AUGCUCACUUUGGCAGCACAUAUACUAAAACUGGACAAUACAGAGAAGAUUAGCAUGGACCCUGCACAAUGACAACAUGCAAAUAUGUGAAGAAUUUCAUCUUUAA